rfam:Otolemur garnettii contig182281, whole genome shotgun sequence.
GCCGGGCAUGGUGGGUGUGUCUAUAGUCCCAGCUACUCGGGAGGCUGAGGCAGGAGGAUUGCUUGAGUCCAGGACUUCUGGGCUGUAGUGCAUUGUGCCAAUUGGGUGUCUGCACUAAGUUCAGCAUCAGUAUGAUGACCUCCCGGGAGCAGGGGGCCAGUAGGUUGCCUAAGGAGGGGUGAACUGGCCCAGGUCAGAAAUGGAGCAGGUUAAAACUCCAGUGCUGAUCAGUAGUGGGAUCACGCCUGUGAAUAGCCACUGCAGUCCAGGCUGGGUAACACAGUGAGACCCCAUCUUGU